UAUUUGAAAGCAGCCUCUAUUAAGUAGACUCUUUCAAGUAGGAGUUAGAAAACCAGGAGUUACUUGGAGUGGUUUGUAUACUGUGGAGAGUGGUUUGUUUUUUAUUUUUGUUUUUUUAAAUUUACUUUUUUUUUUUUUUUUGUGUUCUGGUUUCCCCCCCCUUUUUUGUGUGCUGCUGCUUGAUUGAUUGGGGGAGUGUUUAUUAAUUACACCUGUGUGGGAUUUGUAUCCCCAUAAAGG